UUUGAGCUCAGCCCUUGGGUGGCAGAGUAGCAUGGAGGCUCUGAAAAUCCCUCCCUCCAUUCAGUAGUGAGACAUUUGUGUUUUGGUGUGAUCUCUGCCACUGCCCUACCUUCCUGGGUGAGAGGGCGGGACUCCACCUCUAAUUGGCACUGCUCCCAGCCCUGCUUUAGUUGCCUGGCAACAGCUCUGUGUCUCUAGCUGAAGACACACUAUGGCGAGUGGCAGUCCAGCAGUCAAGAGGGUAGUGGUGUAUCGGAAUGGGGACCCCUUUUCCCCAGGCCACCGGCUGGUGGUGACUCAACGCCGCUUCCCCACCCUGGAAACCUUUCUCUGUGAGGUGACAUCAGCUGUGCAGGCCCCACGGGCUGUGCGAGCCCUCUACACACCUUGCCAUGGGCACCCUGUCACCGACCUGGCAGACCUGCAGAACGGAGGGCAGUAUGUGGCUGCUGGCUUCGAACGAUUCCGCAAGGUCCACUACUUACUCCCUCGAGGGAAGGAUCCAGGUGGGAAGAGUAGCAGACUACCAGGUCCUCCCGUGACUCACUGCCCGUGUGAUGGGAGCCUUGGACGGCAGCUACCUGCAGGUUCCCCUCGCUGCAUCUAUGUGUUCAGGAAUGGGGACCUGUUAAGUCCCCCAUUUAGCCUGAAGCUGUCCCAAAAUGCCAGUGAGGACUGGGAAACAGUGUUGACGCUCCUGACAGAGAAGGCCACAUUACAGAGCGGGGCUGUGUGCAAACUCUGUACCCUGGAGGGACUCCCGUUGUCAGCAAGGGAGGCUCUGGUAGGUGGCCAUUACUAUGUGGCUGUUGGAGAGGAUGAGUUCAAGGCUCUCCCCUACCUGGAGCUGCUGGUGUCUAGCCCCUCACUGCCCAGGGGCUGCUGGCAUCCCCCAGACCCAAAGUCCAGGACUCACAAGCAGGGCGCCCAGGGCCACAGGGCAAAGGCAACCCAGCCCUCGCCACAGGAACCAAGCCGAAUUGAGCCAUCUGCUUUCUAUGCCAGACCCCAGCAGGCCAUUCAGACAACAAGCAUGCUCCCCACUCUCUCGUUUCCAUCAGAAGUCAAGGGAGUGUAUGGGGCUCCCCACCCAAGGAAGGAGACAUCAGGAGCCCAGGAUGUAGCAGACGAUGAAGACACCUGCACAGAGGAACCCUUGGAUCAGAGGGCAGCACAGAUGGUGGAAGAGGCCCUGGCCCCAGAAAACCUGCCUGAGGCUGGGGCAGCAUCAGCCUCAGCCCCUGCUGCUCUGCCUUGAGAGCCACAGCUCCAGCCAGGAACUGGGGGCCGCCACUCUGCAGUCACCUCUUCUCCUCAGCCUCCAGCAGCUGUUCCUGGGGAGCCACCACCUCCCCUCCCCUGGGCCCACAGAUGAAGUUACAGCAAAGCUGAUUCAAACCCAGGUCUCCUGACUCGAAAUUCAGUGCUCCCUCAGGAUUCCAGCAUGAAAACUUGAACUACAAGGACCACCCCGGUUUGCUGAUAAGAAUGAGGUCUUUGCACUCAAAGAGAGCUCCUAAGAUUUCAAGGACAUCUGGACAAAG